rnacentral:rRNA from 1 species
CCUACGGGUGGCAGCAGUGAGGAAUAUUGGUCAAUGGCCGGAAGGCUGAACCAGCCAUGCCGCGUGAAGGUAAGUGCCCUAUGGGCGUUAAACUUCUUUUGUGCGGGAGCAAUAAUGGUCACGUGUGGCCAGACGAGAGUACCGUACGAAUAAGCAUCGGCUAACUCCGUGCCAGCAGCCGGGGUAAUACGUAGGUGGCAAGCGUUGUCCGGAGUUACUGGGGGUAAAGGGUGUGCAGCCGGAGAGAACAGUGAGACGUGAAAUCCACGGGCUCAAACCGGGAACUGCAUUUGAAACUGUUUCCCUUGAGUGUCGGAGAGGUAAUCGGAAUUCCUUGUGUAGCGGUGAAAUGCGUAGAUAUAAGGAAGAACACCAGUGGCGAAGGCGGAUUACUGGACGAUAACUGACGGUGAGGCGCGAAAGCGUGGGGAGCAAACAGGAUUAGAUACCCCAGUAGUC